GUCCCUUAGGGGGCAUUUGAUAAAUGUGGAAAAAUACUGAGAAGAUUAGCAUGGUUGUGGUGCAAGGAUAACAUACCUAAACCAAGUGAAGGUCUAAUUUUUU